rnacentral:rRNA from 1 species
GAUGAACGCUGGCGGCGUGCCUAAUACAUGCAAGUCGAGCGAACAGAUAAGGAGCUUGCUCCUUUGACGUUAGCGGCGGACGGGUGAGUUACACGUGGAUAACCUACCUUUAAGACUGGGAUAACUUCGGGAAACUGGUGCUAAUACCGGAUAACAUAUUGAACCGCAUGGUUCAAUAGUGAAAGGCGGCUUUGCUGUCACUUAUAGAUGGAUCCGCGCCGUAUUAGCUAGUUGGUAAGGUAACGGCUUACCAAGGCAACGAUACGUAGCAGACCUGAGAGGGUGAUCGGCCACACUAGAACUGAGACACCGUCCAGACUCCUACGGGAGGCAGCAGUAGGGAUUCUUCCGCAGUAGUCAAAAGCCUGACGGAGCAGCGCCGCAUGAGUGAGGAGGGGCUUCUGAUCGUAGAACUCUGUGAUCAGGGAAGAACAAAUGUGUAAGUAACUAUGCACAUCUUGACGGUACCUGAUCAGAAAGCCACGGCUAACUCCGUG